AUGCACGCUGGCGGCGUGCCUAAUACAUGCAAGUCGAGCGAACAGACGAGGAGCUUGCUCCUCUGACGUUAGCGGCGGACGGGUGAGUAACACGUGGAUAACCUACCUAUAAGACUGGGGUAACUUCGGGAAACCGGAGCUAAUACCGGAUAAUAUAUUGAACCGCAUGGUUCAAUAGUGAAAGACGGUUUUGCUGUCACUUAUAGAUGGAUCCGCGCCGCAUUAGCUAGUUGGUAAGGUAACGGCUUACCAAGGCGACGAUGCGUAGCCGACCUGAGAGGGUGAUCGGCCACACUGGAACUGAGACACGGUCCAGACUCCUACGGGAGGCAGCAGUAGGGAAUCUUCCGCAAUGGGCGAAAGCCUGACGGAGCAACGCCGCGUGAGUGAUGAAGGUCUUCGGAUCGUAAAACUCUGUUAUUAGGGAAGAACAAAUGUGUAAGUAACUAUGCACGUCUUGACGGCACCUAAUCAGAAAGCCACGGCUAACUACGUG
rnacentral:rRNA from 1 species